rnacentral:rRNA from 1 species
CCUACGGGGGGCAGCAGUGGGGAAUAUUGCACAAUGGGCGCAAGCCUGAUGCAGCCAUGCCGCGUGUGUGAAGAAGGCCUUCGGGUUGUAAAGCACUUUCAGCGGGGAGGAAGGCGUUAAGGUUAAUAACCUUGGCGAUUGACGUUACCCGCAGAAGAAGCACCGGCUAACUCCGUGCCAGCAGCCGCAGUAAUACGGAGGGUGCAAGCGUUAAUUGGAAUUACUGGGCGUAAAGCGCACGCAGGCGGUCUGUCAAGUCGGAUGUGAAAUCCCCGGGCUCAACCUGGGAACUGCAUUCGAAACUGGCAGGCUAGAGUCUUGUAGAGGGGGGUAGAAUUCCAGGUGUAGCGGUGAAAUGCGUAGAGAUCUGGAGGAAUACCGGUGGCGAAGGCGGCCCCCUGGACAAAGACUGACGCUCAGGUGCGAAAGCGUGGGGAGCAAACAGGAUUAGAUACCCCAGUAGUC